AUUGAACGCUGGCGGCAUGCCUUACACAUGCAAGUCGAACGGUAACAGGUCUUCGGAUGCUGACGAGUGGCGCACGGGUGCGUAAUACAUCGGAACGUGCCCAGACGUGGGGGAUAACGAGGCGAAAGCUUUGCUAAUACCGCAUACGACCUCAGGCUGACAGCAGGGGACCGCAAGGCCUUGCGCGUUUGGAGCGGCCGAUGGCAGAUUAGGUAGUUGGUGGGAUAAACGCUUACCAAGCCGACGAUCUGUAGCUGGUCUGAGAGGACGACCAGCCACACUGGGACUGAGACACGGCCCAGACUCCUACGGGAGGCAGCAGUGGGGAAUUUUGGACAAUGGGCGAAAGCCUGAUCCAGCAAUGCCGCGUGCAGGAUGAAGGCCUUCGGGUUGUAAACUGCUUUUGUACGGAACGAAAAGGCUCUGGCUAAUACCUGGGGCACAUGACGGUACCGUAAGAAUAAGCACCGGCUAACUACGUG
rnacentral:rRNA from 1 species